rnacentral:rRNA from 1 species
AUUGAACGCUGGCGGCAGGCUUAACACGUGCAAGUCGAGCGGAGAUGAGGUGCUUGCACCUUAUCUUAGCGGCGGACGGGUGAGUAAUGCUUAGGUAUCUGCCUAUUAGUGGGGGACAACAUUCCGAAAGGAGUGCUAAUACCGCAUACGUCCUACGGGAGAAAGCAGGGGAUCUUCGGACCUUGCGCUAGUAGAUGAGCCUAAGUCGGAUUAGCUAGUUGGUGGGGUAAAGGCCUACCGAGGCGACGAUCUGUAGCGGGUCUGAGAGGAUGAUCCGCCACACUGGGACUGAGACACGGCCCAGACUCCUACGGGAGGUAGCAGUGGGGAAUAUUGGACAAUGGGGGGAACCCUGAUCCAGCCAUGCCGCGUGUGUGAAGAAGGCCUUAUGGUUGUAAAGCACUUUAAGCGAGGAGGAGGCUACUGAGACUAAUACUCUUGGAUAGUGGACGUUACUCGCAGAAUAAGCACCGGCUAACUCUGUGCCAGCAGCCGCCGUAAUAC